GGGCCGGAGCGGCGGCGCCUGGAUGCGGACCCGGCCGCGGGGAGACGGGCGCCAGCCCCGAAUCGACUCUCAGUCCCCGACGCGCCCCGCCCGACCCCUAAGAUGAAGAAGGUGUCCGCCAGAGGAAACAGCUCUACCACCCAGCCAGCCCCUUGUGUCCCUCCUCCCUUUGCCUGUCUCAGAGGGGCAUGAAACACUUAUUUUAAAAUUACAAGCCAAGGACAGUUUGAAGAAGAAAAGGAAUAUGUUGUCACUCUCCAAAUGCCCCUUCCCGGUGGGAGACAAAACUGGUCAAGAGCCAGAUGCCAGAGACCCUUUAGUUGGUCCACAGCCAGAGUCAAGGGGGUGGAUGUUCCAGUGCUCCUACCCCCCGCCCCACACUUCCUAAGCUUGGAUAUGAUGUUAAACAAAAGAAUUAGGAUACAGGUUUUUUCUUGCAAAAAGUCAUCGUUAAUUUUUCCAAGUGUGCAAUAUUGUCC
rnacentral:lncRNA from 1 species